GUUUGAACAUGGCCUCGAAACGGCAACAGGAGUCGGGAGCGGAGAAAAGAAAGAAGAAGAGGAAGCGUGAUGAAACUCAGGCGUCGCUUGCCGGGUCAAUGCUUAAAUAUGUUCAAGGAGGAUCUCAAGGACAGGAUGAACCAUCCAGUAGUAGUGCCAUCCCUGGACAUCAACCACCAGCCAUUGUAGACCCUGCAACAAUCCCUAGCCAAGAAGAACAAGAACCAUCAACCACCAGUUCAGGUGUGGGGAAAAUACAUAAGACUGCAGUGAAGCGAUGUACCAGAUUAAUCCCUGGCCAAAGAACAGUUCUCCACAGUCGCUGUCCACAUGGGUCAGUGGGACCAAGAAGCACUCUGCUAAUGUGUGGACUCUGACCAGCAACAUCCAGCAAGACCCAG
ensembl:lncRNA